rnacentral:rRNA from 1 species
CAUUCACGGAGAGUUUGAUCCUGGCUCAGGACGAACGCUGGCGGCGUGCUUAACACAUGCAAGUCGAACGAUGAAGCCCUUCGGGGUGGAUUAGUGGCGAACGGGUGAGUAACACGUGGGCAAUCUGCCCUUCACUCUGGGACAAGCCCUGGAAACGGGGUCUAAUACCGGAUAACACUCCCGCACUCCUGUGCGGGGGUUAAAAGCUCCGGCGGUGAAGGAUGAGCCCGCGGCCUAUCAGCUUGUUGGU